rnacentral:rRNA from 1 species
GACGAACGCUGGCGGCGUGCUUAACACAUGCAAGUCGAACGAAGAGCGAUGGAAGCUUGCUUCUAUCAAUCUUAGUGGCGAACGGGUGAGUAACGCGUAAUCAACCUGCCCUUCAGAGGGGGACAACAGUUGGAAACGACUGCUAAUACCGCAUACGAUCUAAUCUCGGCAUCGAGGAUAGAUGAAAGGUGGCCUCUACAUGUAAGCUAUCACUGAAGGAGGGGAUUGCGUCUGAUUAGCUAGUUGGAGGGGUAACGGCCCACCAAGGCGAUGAUCAGUAGCCGGUCUGAGAGGAUGAACGGCCACAUUGGGACUGGGACACGGCCCAGACUCCUACGGGAGGCAGCAGUGGGGAAUCUUCCGCAAUGGACGAAAGGCUGACGGAGCAACGCCGCGGGAGGGAUGACGGCCGUCGGGUUGUAAAGCUCUGUUAAUCGGGACGAAAGGCCUUCUUGCGAAUAGGGAGAAGGAUUGACGGUACCGGAAUAGAAAGCCACGGCUAACUACGUG